rnacentral:lncRNA from 1 species
AGGGACAUUGCUCUUUGGUGUUCUUUGCUGCUACUUCUUGAGAUUAAGAUGCUUCCCUACCUCCACCCCCACCCCCACCCUGAGCUGAUUGCCUACUCCUUGCUUCCAGCAUGGAAAAGAGAAAAUGGAUUUGGGAAACACGUAAGUGGCCUUUACCUCUGUUGUCUUAUUAAAUCAUAAUCAUGAUUGGAGACUUCUGCUUCCGUCCAUAAUGGGGUACCUGGUAGCAGACUUACCGUCUUGCCAAAAACGACUAGAAAACUGGAUAAAACAUGGAACAUUAGCAACAGGAAUGGGAUAAUAAGAAGCCAGAACUGUGGUGUUGGAGAAAAGGAAAACAAAUAACACAAGCCCAGCAAAUGUCCUUAUUUUCUACCUAAGAUACUUAACCAGACCAUGACCCAUGGAGCAGGAACCCAAACAGAGCACUUCAAUUUCUCAGAGUUGAGGAGGGAGAGACUGGAGUUCGGGGAGGUAGAGACAGCUAGAAUUUGCAGGAAGACCACCAGUGUGUGAGGAGAAUGCUAUGCAGAAAAAGACCUUCACAUUUCUGUCUUAGGGUCCCUCGAGUCUGUUUCUGAAUACUAAACUAUGUAUGCAUAGGACAAAACUCACAAAACUGGGCAGAAUACAUCCAGAUGACAGGGGAGCUGUAGGCUGAAUAAUUUGUAGAGCUUACAUGUAAUUCAUGAUUGGGGUAAAAAAAAUCAUCCGUCUUUACCUCUAUGAAGCAGAUAUAGCAAGUUGAUCUAAUGAUGGCAUCAAGAAUCGUGUGCUGUGUAUCCACAUCAGUUGUAAAGGAUGAAUAUUGUAUUGUAAGCUCUUGAAAAGGACAAGCCCCCACUAAUCUUUAUGUGGCCUCCACACCUGAUCCUUCCCCAUGCAUUUGAGUGUAGGAGGACAAGCAAAGAGGACAAGCUGAGUUGAGUUUCAUGGUUAACCCUGAACUUCCCUAAAGGGUCUAGGCAAGUUGAUGCAGUUUUGUUCGUACUUAAGUCUACAUGACCCAUCUCUCUAAGUUUCUCUAACUCUUGCCCAUGUUGAGAGCCACGUGCAGGGUCAUCCAGCUGGUGAGAAUAAACAACCAUUCAGGGCUUUUGGCUUUCCAUGUGUGUGAGUCACGGAGGGGUGCUUGUUGGAGUGUUAAGAAAGAUAAACACAUGGCAGCUCUCUAAAGCCUGUUUCUGGAAACCUAGCAGGAGGGAACAGAUAGCCAUUGUUCAGAGCCAGAGAGUGUUAUUAGGCAGGAGUGGGAAGUGCAUGCUUCGGGAAGACCAGCCUUUAGAUGGAUCAGAAGUUGAAAAUGAUUAUAAUUAAACUGGAAUUAAACCAGUUGUGACAGAGGGGUUUUGGGGUGAAAAGAUACAGUGGUGUGACAGCAAGAAAACAGGGAUUGAGAUCAAAGAAUUUCCAGAUUCAAUUGGAUCAGGAAUUCUCAUAAGAAAACAAAAAACACUCGAGAAAAUCUGGUUUCUUCUUCAAUAGACUUGACCAUGUCCAUGAGAAGAAAAGAAAAUGCUACAUACUUUUGCUAGAAGUGAAUCUACAACUCUGUUCCUACAUGAUAAUGGCCACUUAGAUAAUACAACAUAGUACACAGAAUUUGCAAAUCCUAGUCUUACAAGGAACCCCAUAAUAAUAUCAUCCUGGGGAAUUUUGUUUAUGCCUUAAACCUUUUUGGAUUCUAUACAUCUAUGAAGACACUUGAGAAAUAACCUUCAUAUAGUACUGCCUUUAUUUUACAUGCUAGUAAAAGGGCCUUUAUCCUUGGCCCUGCACAUGACAAAGACACGUGAUAAAUAAGAUUAGUAAAGAAACAUGGUGCCUUUAGCAUGGAUCCACUACUCAGCACUGACAUAGCACACCUAUAACCCUAAACAUCUGCACUUGUGACUAACAUCAUUCAAGCUCCAGGGAAACGCUUGUGCCUGUCUUGUGCCCUGUGUCCUAGAAAAAGUGAUUGUCUCUGGGUCACUGUUACCCUUGAAGAGAGAAACUUCUCCGGAGUAGAGGCAGGAUGUGAACAGCAGAAGCCCUUCAGUAAGAAAAAAAUACCUUAAAUAAUUUAUCAAAUCCCUCCUUCAGAUAAUUGGAUCCUUAACCCACUGAGUGAGGCCAGGGAUCGAACCUGCAUCCUCAUGGAUAAUAGUCAUCUUCGCUACUGCUGAGCCAUAAUAGGAACUCCAGUGACCUAUUUAUUUCUACAACCAACAGGUCCUCUCAACUUCCCACCAGUGUUUUUGAUGCUCAGGCUUAGGAGGAACUGGCUUAGAACCAUGUGUGGUACUUUUCACCAUAAGUUGAAUCACCGUUCCAAAUUUUCCUCAAUAUUUGUGGUUGGAGUUGUUUUAUGUCAUUAUCGGAACUGAGUGGACUUCUGUUAUCUCCUGUGCCUUUUAACUUCUCCUUCUCUACCCCCAUGCAGAGAUUUUUCUGUAAAGUUUAAGUGAGGUGGCAGUGAGACCAAUAUUUUUACAACAGUGCCUGAAUUUUUUAGCAAUUCUAAUUCCAAUUGCAAGCCUCACACCACCAUCCCUAGAGCCCACAUGCUUCUCAAGAACAGGUUGGUGUCCUCAUUCAGAGCAGCACUUUUCAACUUCCUGUUCUGGCUCUGAGUUGAAUGGGUCAAUUGCCAUAAAAUAGUUUGGCGUGAAUGAGUUUUAGUGUACUGAGUUUUAUAAUAUCAAUUAGAAUGCUCUAAAGUUUAGUCUUAUGGUAAUGUCUCUCUCAUUUGCUUGCAUUCUCAACCAAGCAAAAGAAACUGCUACUGAUGGGCUAGUAAUAAUUGUGGAGAUUCUGAAUCAUUGAAGCACUUGUCAAAUGAGAGUGUAUGUAUCAUGAAAGCCACAUAUGUCCAGGAGAGUAUAUUGACUGCAGAAAUGUUGCAUAAGUAUGCCACUGAGAAGAAGUACGUGAGCCAUUGUUUUGGAGUAAGAAACAGCAGGGAAGAAUUUAGUUUCAGCCUGAAAUAGCUUAUUUCUGUAUUGGCCAUCAAAAAUGUAGACAUCAGCAUGGUUCACUUUGACCUGGAUUUGUCAUGACAGGAAGUACCAAGUCCCUUCACUCAAGUGAAAUUUGAAUGAAUCUUUCAGUAGAACUCUCAAGUGUCAAGAGGUGUUUUACCAGAGUUAAAUUUCUUAACAGGAUGAAGAAUUUAUUGUCGAGCCAUCAAAUCUGCUGAGAGGAAACCCAUGUUUGUUAUACACCCCAUACCAUUAGAUUGUUGAGUAAGGAGGAAGUGGGGAGGUCUUCAAAUAGGGUGGGAAUUCUGUCGGCCUGAACACUGUGUACUUAUUGUUGCUUAGAGUGGACCCUUUUUGCCCAUCCACUUAUGUACAUAAUAAGGUUGGAUGUGGUUAGUCAUGUGGUUUUUAGCUAAAUUAAAUUGUCCAUGGGAAUCAGUUUCCUCGGUCUAUAACUGAGACCUUAAAUAUCAUUUUAUGAACACUGAAAAAGAAAACUCUCUCUCAAUAAAUAUUGGUAGAGCAGGAAUUGGAGGUUGCUGAUUAAUACCUUGCAUUUAUAGAGAUCUUAUAGAUUUUAUAAUUUGAAAAAAUACUGUUUCAUAACCUAACAUGGUAGCCAGUAUAGGAAAAUCAGAGAAAGAUUCACAUGCAGUGAGAGUAGUUUUCCUACAGCAGGAAAUCAUUAUGGUUAGCAAUGUGGGAGUAAAAUCAUCCCAAAGUUAGCUGACUGCAGUGGAUUAAGUUUACAUCUGGCUAGUAGAGACUAUCCAAAAAUGAUCCUGGGAAUUCUGGGGACUCUUGACAGGGCUGUGGCUUUGUUCUGCCUUUGUGAGCAUCAGCUGACAAGGCCUCAUCAAUACAUUCAUUAUGACAUCAUUAUGUGGACAAACAAUUUGCGGGCCAAGAAGAUCUGAGAAUUCCUGGGGUGAAGGGAAAUUCCACAGACAUCCAUGGUUUUGGAUGCUCAGUGAGUAAACUAUGGUUUUUAAGCAGUUCCUAGAGCCUGAGAAAUAGUUGGGCACUACCCAAGUCUACACCCUUCAAGCUUUCUCAGGGAGGGUUGGAUAUGUCUGCAAAAACCCCACUGGCCCCACAUGUCCCUAAUACCUUAUAGAAAAUAAGGUCAGUAUGGAAAGAGAUGUUCUUGAAUGAAACUCUUUAAUGGAGAACGUUUGUGUUAGGAGCCAGUAGGUUAAAACACCGAUGCCCUGUUUCAUCAAGGCCAGUUAACACCCUAUCACAGCUCUGGCAUGCGUGAGACUUGAGCCUUACCUCUGGAAAAAAAAUAAUAAAUUUGGUAUUAUUCUGUAUUCUGAUGCCUGAAUACAUAAGCCUUCAUGAUUAUAUUUUAGGUAUUAGAUAGAAAGAUGCACUGUCAUCUCAGUAGCUGUAUAUAUAAUCAUCCACCGUGGAUGCCGAGUCCACCUUUCCUGCAUUAACUCUCACAACUCUCUCAGAAUUCUGGACGUUAUCUAAAACUAGGCUUAUUUCCUUCCAUGAUACCUUUAUUCUGCAUUUC